rnacentral:lncRNA from 1 species
GAGCAAAUUUUCAAAUCUUUAAGCAAAUGGGCAAACUAUUUAUGCAUAUGACCAUUUGUAUCACAUGCCAAAAGAAUCAAUACUCUUUUCAAGCAUAUGCACUUAUAAUGCAUCCUUUUGAAAUUCAUGAUUCACAUAAAUGCUUUUGUUCAAGUAUUUUAUCAUCAUCAAAAAGGGAGAGAUUGUUGCUCCAAGAUUGAUUUUGAUGAUUACAAAGC